GAUGAAGAACGCAGCGAAAUGCGAUAAGUAAUGCGAAUUGCAGAAUCCGUGAGUCAUCGAAUCUUUGAACGCACAUUGCGCCCGCUGGUAUUCCGGCGGGCAUGCCUGUUCGAGCGUCAUUUCAACCCUCAAGCCCCCGGGUUUGGUGUUGGGGAUCGGCUCUGCCCUCUGGGCGGUGCCGCCCCCGAAAUACAUUGGCGGUCUCGCUGCAGCCUCCAUUGCGUAGUAGCUAACACCUCGCAACUGGAACGCGGCGCGGCCAUGCCGUAAAACCCCAACUUCUGAAUGUUGACCUCGGAUCAGGUAGGAAUACCCGCUGAACUUAAGCAUAUCAAUAAGCGGAGGA
rnacentral:misc_RNA from 1 species